UCUUAUGGAUGAGCAAAGAAAGUAAUUUCUUGAAAUGAAAUCUACUGUUGAUGAAGAUGCUAAGAA
rnacentral:pre_miRNA from 1 species